GGAUCAUUACCGAGUGAGGGCCCUCUGGGUCCAACCUCCCACCCGUGUCUAUCGUACCUUGUUGCUUCGGCGGGCCCGCCGUUUCGACGGCCGCCGGGGAGGCCUUGCGCCCCCGGGCCCGCGCCCGCCGAAGACCCCAACAUGAACGCUGUUCUGAAAGUAUGCAGUCUGAGUUGAUUAUCGUAAUCAGUUAAAACUUUCAACAACGGAUCUCUUGGUUCCGGCAUCGAUGAAGAACGCAGCGAAAUGCGAUAAGUAAUGUGAAUUGCAGAAUUCAGUGAAUCAUCGAGUCUUUGAACGCACAUUGCGCCCCCUGGUAUUCCGGGGGGCAUGCCUGUCCGAGCGUCAUUGCUGCCCUCAAGCACGGCUUGUGUGUUGGGCCCCCGUCCCCCUCUCCCGGGGGACGGGCCCGAAAGGCAGCGGCGGCACCGCGUCCGGUCCUCGAGCGUAUGGGGCUUUGUCACCUGCUCUGUAGGCCCGGCCGGCGCCAGCCGACACCCAACUUUAUUUUUCUAAGGUUGACCUCGGAUCAGGUAGGGAUACCCGCUGAACUUAAGCA
rnacentral:rRNA from 1 species